CAUCUGCUGAUGUUGAAGCAGUGAUGAAGCGCUGCCGUCUUCAGAUUCGGUGACUUCAAAAAAACAAUACCAGUGAAGAUCAGCUGGUGGAGAUGUAAAAUCUCUUUGUGCACAUUUUUUAUAUAUGUUUAUUUUUUUAUUUAAAUGCACAGUGUAACGUAUUUAAUCUCUUGCUGAUUUCUUAUAUCUAUCUGUAUAUAUCUCUUAUUAUUUUAAGUUUUUACUCUUCUCGUACUGUUGCAUAUAGUCAUAGUCUUUAUAUGCAAGCUGAACUAAUUCCCUGUGUCUGAAUGAUGAACAAGUCCAUGGUGCACCUGGGAACUGAGCCGUAGAGACAUAUGUAUCUGUGAUUUCUGUUCUCUGGUAUUUCUCAUCUGAUGCUUGAAUUGUAAACCGCAUUAAUAAAAGUCUCCUCGUCUCCA